rnacentral:rRNA from 1 species
UACGUAGGGUGCGAGCGUUAAUCGGAAUUACUGGGCGUAAAGCGUGCGCAGGCGGUUCGUUAUGUCUGAUGUGAAAGCCCCGGGCUCAACCUGGGAAUGGCAUUGGAAACUGGCGAGCUUGAGUGUGGCAGAGGGGGGUGGAAUUCCGCGUGUAGCAGUGAAAUGCGUAGAGAUGCGGAGGAACACCGAUGGCGAAGGCAGCCCCCUGGGCUAACACUGACGCUGAGGAGCGAAAGCUAGGGGAGCAAACGGG